GACGAACGCUGGCGGCGUGCUUAACACAUGCAAGUCGAACGGAAAGGCCCUGCUUUUGUGGGGUGCUCGAGUGGCGAACGGGUGAGUAACACGUGAGUAACCUGCCCUUGACUUUGGGAUAACUUCAGGAAACUGGGGCUAAUACCGGAUAGGAGCUCCUGCUGCAUGGUGGGGGUUGGAAAGUUUCGGCGGUUGGGGAUGGACUCGCGGCUUAUCAGCUUGUUGGUGGGGUAGUGGCUUACCAAGGCUUUGACGGGUAGCCGGCCUGAGAGGGUGACCGGCCACAUUGGGACUGAGGUACGGCCCAGACUCCUACGGGAGGCAGCAGUGGGGAAUAUUGCACAAUGGGCGGAAGCCUGAUGCAGCAACGCCGCGUGCGGGAUGACGGCCUUCGGGUUGUAAACCGCUUUCGCCUGUGACGAAGCGUGAGUGACGGUAAUGGGUAAAGAAGCACCGGCUAACUACGUGCCAGCAGCCGCGGUGAUACGUAGGGUGCGAGCGUUGUCCGGAUUUAUUGGGCGUAAAGGGCUCGUAGGUGGUUGAUCGCGUCGGAAGUGUAAUCUUGGGGCUUAACCCUGAGCGUGCUUUCGAUACGGGUUGACUUGAGGAAGGUAGGGGAGAAUGGAAUUCCUGGUGGGGCGGUGGAAUGCGCAGAUAUCAGGAGGAACACCAGUGGCGAAGGCGGUUCUCUGGGCCUUUCCUGACGCUGAGGAGCGAAAGCGUGGGGAGCGAACAGGCUUAGAUACCCUGGUAGUCCACGCUGUAAACGGUGGGUACUAGGUGUGGGGUCCAUUCCACGGGUUCCGUGCCGUAGCUAACGCUUUAAGUACCCCGCCUGGGGAGUACGGCCGCAAGGCUAAAACUCAAAGGAAUUGACGGGGCCCCGCACAAGCGGCGGAGCAUGCGGAUUAAUUCGAUGCAACGCGUAGAACCUUACCUGGGUUUGACAUGGAUCGGGAGUGCUCAGAGAUGGGUGUGCCUCUUUUGGGGUCGGUUCACAGGUGGUGCAUGGCUGUCGUCAGCUCGUGUCGUGAGAUGUUGGGUUAAGUCCCGCAACGAGCGCAACCCUUGUUCACUGUUGCCAGCACGUUAUGGUGGGGACUCAGUGGAGACCGCCGGGGUCAACUCGGAGGAAGGUGGGGAUGACGUCAAGUCAUCAUGCCCCUUAUGUCCAGGGCUUCACGCAUGCUACAAUGGCUGGUACAGAGAGUGGCGAGCCUGUGAGGGUGAGCGAAUCUCGGAAAGCCGGUCUCAGUUCGGAUUGGGGUCUGCAACUCGACCUCAUGAAGUCGGAGUCGCUAGUAAUCGCAGAUCAGCAACGCUGCGGUGAAUACGUUCCCGGGGCU
rnacentral:rRNA from 1 species